AUAACGACUCUCGGCAACGGAUAUCUCGGCUCUCGCAUCGAUGAAGAACGUAGCAAAAUGCGAUACUUGGUGUGAAUUGCAGAAUCCCGUGAAUCAUCGAGUUUUUGAACGCAAGUUGCGCCCGAAGCCCUUAGGCCGAGGGCACGUCUGCCUGGGCGUCACGU
rnacentral:rRNA from 1 species